rnacentral:rRNA from 1 species
CCUACGGGAGGCAGCAGUAGGGAAUCUUCCGCAAUGGACGAAAGUCUGACGGAGCAACGCCGCGUGAGUGAUGAAGGCUUUCGGGUCGUAAAACUCUGUUGUUAGGGAAGAACAAGUGCUAGUUGAAUAAGCUGGCACCUUGACGGUACCUAACCAGAAAGCCACGGCUAACUACGUGCCAGCAGCCGCGGUAAUACGUAGGUGGCAAGCGUUAUCCGGAAUUAUUGGGCGUAAAGCGCGCGCAGGUGGUUUCUUAAGUCUGAUGUGAAAGCCCACGGCUCAACCGUGGAGGGUCAUUGGAAACUGGGAGACUUGAGUGCAGAAGAGGAAAGUGGAAUUCCAUGUGUAGCGGUGAAAUGCGUAGAGAUAUGGAGGAACACCAGUGGCGAAGGCGACUUUCUGGUCUGUAACUGACACCGAGGCGCGAAAGCGUGGGGAGCAAACAGGAUUAGAUACCCUGGUAGUCCACGCCGUAAACGAUGAGUGCUAAGUGUUAGAGGGUUUCCGCCCUUUAGUGCUGAAGUUAACGCAUUAAGCACUCCGCCUGGGGAGUACGGCCGCAAGGCUGAAACUCAAAGGAAUU